CCUCUGAGUUCUGGUCCCUGCUCCCCUCUCUGACCUCCUCUCCUCCACUCUCUUUCCGCAUCCACUGCAGUGCCCCUCGCUGCUCCUGAGCUUCCUUAGUACGUUCCCACCUCAGGGCCUUUGCACUUACUGUUCUCUCUGCCUGGAACUUUGUUUCCCAAGUAUUCAUAAGACCCCUUCCCUCUCUAUCAGGUCUUUUCUCAACUGUCACCUCCACAUGGAGGUCUUCCUUGAUUUCAUAUCUACAAUAAGCCCUUGCUCCCCCAUCACCUAUCAUUCCCCCAUCUUCUUACCCUUUUGUAUUUUCUUUCAAGCAGGUUCACUGAUGUUAUUUUAUAGAUUUAGUUGUAUAAUUAUUGUGGGGGUCGCUGCUAGACAGACCCUGUGGUGUGACGAGUGUGGGGAUGGGGAAGACACAGCGGGGUCUGCGGGGUGCUCAGAGCAGGUCCCUGCCUCAGUGUCCCCCUGAGGCCUGGACUCCCCACCCCCCUCAGCAGCCUGCUAAUGCGAUGCGGUAAUUCUGAGUCCCUGCUUUGUCCGGGAAGAGAGGUUGCCAUGGAAACAGAGGCGCGAGGCUCCAGCAAAGGGAGCAUUACCCUCCCUUUGUUAGACCCAGAGGCCUGCCUUCUGGGGGCCACCCCACCUGCUGCCUGCCUUUGGGAAAGAAGACGGGAGACGAGGAAAACGAGAGGCUGCAGCAGGUUGAGCUCCAGAAGGUCUGUGCCAGGCCCUGACCGGGACAAGCUGCUGAGCACCGCGAGCCCCAGUCCCCCCACCUGUAAAAUGGGAUGCCGGCGUCUCUCAGGGUGCCAGGGAACUUCGUGGCCAUUCUCACUGACCCCUCGCUGUAUGUAAGAGCAACCAAAGUCAAAGAGGUAAGGGGCUUGCCCCAGGUCACAUGGCUAGGCAGAGGUGGGUGGGGCAAAGGUGGCUGAGCCUGUAUGUCUCCUCCACGAUCAAUAUCCAGGCCACAUUCAUUUCUGCAGCCCUCUCCAUACCAGCAUGGAAGAGCGUGAAGAUGUGUUUGUUGAGUGAAUGACUGUGUCUGCCAGGCAGCAUUACCAAAGAUCUAUGGUUGUGGUGAGGGAGGGGAUGUUCUGCUCAACUUUGUUCUUCUCUGAGCUCCCUUGCUCCUGAGCUCAGGUCCAGACCCUUCAGUGGACUCUGAGAUGUGCAGUGACCCCUGGAGACUCCGUUCUGUGAGGAGUGGCUCAGCCAGGACAAAUGGACCCCCAGCCUCUGGGGUCCAGCUACUAUUCCUAAUUCUCUUCAUGAUUGUCCUGGGGCAGGAGGGACAGGAGGCUGGGAGGUCUGCGGGCAGGGCUGGGAGCCUUAGGAAGACAGGACCUAAGCUUGUGAAUAAGAGCCCCCAUGUUAGGCACAGCUGCCCCAUGCUGAGGGUGAGCACGUUGGGAUGGCCAUUGGUUGGGGAUGUUCAUGCAGCCAUCUGUUCGUUAUUGAGCACCUGUUGUGUACCAGACGCUGGAGCAUCAGACCUUUGGCUGGAGAAAUGGACAGUCAACAAAUAAACUUAGGAUGUGAGGGCAGGGGGUGACAAGGGGGAAGACAGACAGCAGGGCAGACUUGGAGCAGAGCAACCCUGGGCCUGGGUCAGACAGAGGAGCAUCGUAGGGACAGGAGCCGGGAUGACGGGGAGGGAGGGGGCUGCCGGGUGGAAGGCAGGGGAGAGGGUCCCCGCAGAGGGGCCUGCUGGCGAGGCCAGGAGGCAAUAAUGUGCCGGGGUGGCUGACAUGGGGUGACAGAGACUCAAGAGGGGGACCGUCGCCCAUGCCCUAGGCCCCCUUGCCCUCCUCCCCCGCUGGCUCCCGGACCCCAAAACGGCACAGCCCGGAGAGGCUGCAGCAGCUCUAUGGCCACAAGGGGGCAGCAGAGGACACACCUGGGAAGGACUGGGAAGGCUGGGGGCUGACCCAGAGCCCUGGGGGACUCCAGCAGCUGGGCCUGGGGACCAGACCCUCCCAACUCUGCUCCUCUGUCCCCAUCCUUGCAGCUCUCUUCUGAGCCUCCCCCAGCUCCUCGGCAGUCGGAAUAGUGCCUGCUAAAAUCCUGAUGCUUGCCUCUGUGUCAUGGGGACCAUCCCAGUUCCAUCUCUGGGGCCCAUUGUCGCUCUCAGUAACGUUGUUGGCAAUCGCGCACACCUCCACUGAUUGACCUGCCUUGAGCAACCUGCUUUCACUCUGAGACUCAGUUUCCCCAUAUGUAAGCGGGGGGUGAUGCCAGAGCUUAGGUGUGGGAAUCCUGUGCAAAGAAAUUGAUAUAGUACUGAUAAGGCAUGCCAGGUACUCAGCACAGUGCCUGGCACAUAGUAGCUGCUCAGUGAAGAUAAUUUAUAAUGACAAGGAUUAAUGACUUGGGGUGUUGAGCCGAGAGAGAGAGAGAGAGAGAGAGAGAGAGAGAGAGAGAGAGAGAAACUGUUCAGAUGGGAACACUGAAGAGGAGGGAUUUGCUAACGCAUACCCACCAGGAACGAGACUGGGAGCACCCCCCACCCCAAGACUCCCUGUCCAUUUGCAGAUGGGGACCCUGAAAGGGUUGUCAGCCUGGCCAAGGCCGCUGAAUCUGGGAUGCCAGCUUCCUGGCCACAGCUUAUCCUGCCCCUCUGGAACACCUGCCUGUCAAGACCCCCUUUGCCCAGCCUCUCACCUGCCACUGGUAGUUCCUGGACCAUCUAGGCUCUGCUUGCACAGCACCUCCCACCCCAGGAGGUGACCCUCCCUCCCUGACAAGCCAACUCUGACGGGGGGAGGAAGGAGCUUGCUGGGGUGGGAGCUUCUCAGGCUGUGACUCCCAAUGUCCGCCUGUGCCAACCGUGUGAGAGCAGAGAGCUGCAAACCCUGGAAUGCCUCAUGCCUGGAAACCUGGUCCUUUAGUCUUUGAGUUCUCAGAUUAUCCUAGUGGACGGGGCCCCCUCAUUUCUAACAGAGUACGGAAGGGAGCCCCUAGAUUUUGAUGCCCUUCAGGGUGCAUGAGGUGUUUCCGGAGGGUGGGUGGGCACCCAAGGGGAGGCAGCUGGAGGUGGCAGUUUAGGAGGAGCUGGGGUGGAUGAGGGAGCAUUGGGGAGCCUCGUGUGAACCCCCCUCCCCAUGGGGAAGAACCUCCCCUGGAUGGGUGUGCUCGUUCCCUUGGUGUGGAGGGGAAGCCCCUCUUCUGCGCCCCUCUCUCCCCAUGUCCUUGUGAAACACCCACAGCCCUCUUGGAAUAAUUCCUCUGAAACCUCGAAUACCUCCAGCGUCUCCCAGGGUAUUUUUCUUGUGGUUAAGGUGGUAUUUACAGUGAAAACAGCUAUUGAAGCAAAUCGCAAAAAUAAUGUCAGUGUUUCCACUUUUGACAAAAAUGGGAAGGCAGGUGGUUUCUUGUCUGCGAUAAGCGCAUCUGCUCCUGCAAUAAUUACUAUUUGAGAUAAUUAUGAAAAAGAAUUUAAAUACUUAAGGCACGCACAGGGGCCAGGACAACUUUCUUUCGCCUUAUUCAUAAUUUCUCCUGCAAGUUGGAGCCUUGUCCUGUCGUGGGCCGAGGGAGGGCCCCAGGAGAGGCACUGGAGGCGGUGGGCCAGUGCUCAGGCCCCGGGGCUGGGGCCAGGGCCGGCUCCGGGCCCCCGGAAGGACCGUGGCUCCUGGAGGCGGGCACACCUGGGUUGAAUCUGGACUUGUCUGGGGUGCCACUGUGGACAAUGAGCUCUGCACCUCAGUUUUCUUAUCUGGGCAAUGGGGCUAAUGAGUGGGUACACCUUAGAGGAUUGUUAGGAAAAUCAAGCAGGUGAGGAAGGUCCGGGAAGCACCCAGUGCUCCGCAGGGGGAGCAGCCUGGGUUGGCAUCUGAGGCUUCUGCAGCCUGGUGUCUGUGGAAAUAAGACCCAGUGCUUGCUCAAGGAGAACCCGGUGAGUUUGCACUCCCUCCUCUCCACUCUCCCAUCUGAACCCCUCUGGGGGAUGCAGGAUUCUGAGGGCAGCAGGGCAGCAGCGACUGCCCUAGAGCCAGAGAGGAGCAGGGCCCCAGGUAAGCUCAGGGGGCAGGGCCAGGGUUUAGAGCUGGGACCCAGGUGUCCCAGU